CGGACCGGCGCACGGGUGCGUAACGCGUAUGCAACCUACCUUUAACAGGGGGAUAACACUGAGAAAUUGGUACUAAUACACCAUAAUAUCAUAGAAGGCAUCUUUUAUGGUUGAAAAUUCCGAUGGUUAGAGAUGGGCAUGCGUUGUAUUAGCUAGUUGGUGGGGUAACGGCUCACCAAGGCGACGAUACAUAGGGGGACUGAGAGGUUAACCCCCCACACUGGUACUGAGACACGGACCAG
rnacentral:rRNA from 1 species